rnacentral:lncRNA from 1 species
AUAGUAGUUUACCUCAUUCUUUUCGCAAAUAUUCAAGUUCUUAUAUCCUAUUAUCACCCACUCCUGCCAAGCAACAAAUGUAUCAAUAACACUUGCAAUUGUCAUGAUAACCUCAUUAACAGGUAUUGGAAGACGCUUUUUAUGUUUUUUUUUCAACAAUGGAAUGAAUCGAUACACAUACAUUUGCUUCUUCCAAAGGAACAGAGUGAAGUUUAUUGUCUGCUCCCAUCCUCUCAAAUACAGUUUCUUUAGCCACAAUGUUACCUUUAUCACCCAAAGCCAAGCUACAUUCUUGAGCCUAAACAUUAAACAUGAUCGUCAAUAUGUGCAGUAUCAUUUGGUAAAUUAAACUUACUGUAUGGGCAUGGCUGGAGGUUCCCAAAGGUGGAUUCCAACUGUUAAGGGGCUGCAGUGUUACUGAAUUGAUACUAGACUACGUAGUCACUGUAACAAAGGGUUGAAGGGGGGUGCAAUGGAACUAGAUUGCAACAAUAGCAACAACCGGAGAAAAAGACAAGGUUCUCACAAAGUAUCAAUUUGAACUAAAGAUAAUUAAUAACUGAAACAAAUGUGGACCUUCUGCUGGCUGUCCACCAACUGGAAGGCUAAAAGCAACAACAGUUAGAAAACUCUGACAAGUUUGCUAAGGGAUUGCAGGCUACUAUGGGGACCUUCUGCUGGCUGUCAGAUGUGUAUGCAUUGGUGAUGCAAUUGGACUGUGCAUCAACAACUGAAACAAACAAGAAGUUGAAUAGGGUGAACAGUUUUUCAGCUUGGGUUUUGGUAUCCUGUGGGGGUUUACUCGUGCAUACCAUGGUUUGAGAAAUAUCAAACCUUGCCAAAAUUAGCAAAUAAUAAAUAAAAAAAUGGGCACUAACAGUCUAACAUCAUAACAACAGCUGGCUACAUCAGCAAAUACACUUAAUGUCCUCCACUCAAAGCAUUGUAAGAGGGGUUUAGUUGUAGGAAGCAAUGGACUGGAUCUCAGCUACUAUAAACUUCACGCCUUAAAGAAAUAUAAUCCAACAGAUGUUUUCAUCUAAAAACAACAAAGCAUACACCAGUAUUCUCCACUACUGAUGUUACAAAAUAGGAAUAAUAAGGAAAAAAAAAUGCAAAUGCUAAACUAAACCAUACAACAAUUCUUCGGGGUGAUUUAGGUUUUGCUCAUCGAUAGUUUAUACUAAUUAGGGUUUGGAGCUGGUUUUCUUUUUUAUUAGGUUUUGGCCAUCAACCGUAAACUAAACCAUACAACAAUUCAAAAUAGCCGAAAUACCUUUAAGAAAGUCAAGUGUGAUGCACAUGUUAACUUAAAAAAAAAAAAUUUAAAAUACAGGCUUUUACAUCGUUGAGACAUAAUUGACCUCUCAUCUCCCUUCUACUGCAACUAUACAACUAUUCCACCAACAGGCUUCAAGAUAAAUAUCUUCUUUUUCUUCCUCAAUUAGUAUCUUCUUUUUCUUUUACAACAAUCAAAUACCCAAUUCCAAUUUUUCGAUUUCAUGAUAAAAACCCCCAAUUUCAAUCACCGCCAUUAAAAUCUCUGUUAUGGUGGUGCUCAUGUGAUUGGUUUGAGUACAGAUGGAAAGGUAAUACUGUAAUAGUAUUGUAAAUUAUAAUGACAGGACUAGAAGUCUAGAAUAGUAGUAAUGGAGUUUGGUUUGUUGGGGGUGGUGGUGGUGGUUGAGAAGAGGAUGGAGGAGGAGUAGUCGCGGUAGUGGAGGUGGAAGAGCAACACCAAGUGGGAUCUGAAGUGGUGGUCGGUGGUGAAAAUGGUGGUUUCUUCUUUUAAGUUUAUUAUUAGAAAAAGAAUGGGUAGUAUGAGUUUGGGUAUUGAGAUGAGUGAGUGUUGUUGUUGCCAUUGAAGAAGAAUAAUAAUCAGGUGACGGUGAUGGUCUAGUAGUGUUAAAGAAGGAGAUAUGAAGAAGAUGAAAGUUGAAUAAUAAGAACCGUUGGAUUAUACUGAACUACCUAAUUGAUGAAAUCUAACCGUUGGAUCAUACUUUUUACAAGGGCAAAUUCAGGUAUUUUGAAAAAAAAUUUGGUUCAACCGGAUUUUUUUAACGGUUGGUUCAAAAAUUAUGGACAAAACCUAAUAAAAAAGAAAACUAGCGAUGACCAAAACCUAAAUCACCCAAUUCUUCGUAACAAAUAAUAUAAAAAUCCAACAGAAGAUUUCAUCUUAAAAUUACAAACUGAAGUGCAUGAUCUGCAGUAUUUUUUUAAUAGUAUUCAAAGAAAGGAACUCGCUGCAAUUACUAAGACUAUACUAGGAAUAAAUCAAGCGUCAUUUAAUCAUAUCUGGGAACAAAUAAAGAGUAUAAAGUACCGGAAGAAAAGCUGAAAAGGGAUGCUUUAGAGAACUCCACCAUCAGAAAAUCUAACAUGCUAGAGAAUGACUACAUGUUAUGGCUAACCAUGGCAGCCUUAUCAGGUGACUGUAGGUGGUAAUUUUAAUUCUAGUUUUUAAUAGACAUAGGGUGUGUUUGAUUGGUGGGAAUAACUACUUGUGGGAAUUUUUAUAGUUGAAAAUAUUCCCACAUAAAAUAAUUUCCACUAAUGGGUCGUUUGAUUGGACAUAAAAACACAAGGAAAAUUUUAUGUGGGAAAGAUUUUAGUUAUUUGAUUAGACAUAAAAACAUGAGGAAAAUUUUAUGUGGGAAAGAUUUUAGUUGUUUGAUUAGACAAAAAAAUAUUCCCUUACAAGUUUGGGAAUUAUUUUUAGGGGUGGGUCAAGGAAAGAUUCAUGAGAAAUAUUUUUAUCAUGGAAUUUUUACAUGACCCAACUUUACCAAUCAAACAGGCAUCUGGGAAUUUCUGAGGUAAUGUUUGAUGUGGGAAUUUUUCCCACGACCAAUCAAACAGACCCAUAAUUUUUUUUCCUGGCCUAGUUGUCUCUGCUCUUUUUUCUAGAUACAAAUAAUUUACUUACGGAACAAAACACCACACACAAACAAUGGUUAGCAAUGGUGAAAAUAAGUGCUCUUGAAAUCUAGGUUACCAUUAGGUACAUCACCAUAUCUAAGAGUAUUAAUUCUGCUUAUUAGGCUCUAACAUUUAUCAUUACUAAAGCUUGUAUUUUGGUUCAAUCUACGUGUACAAGUGUUCUCAAAAUUGUUGCGAGUUUUUUUUUUACCAGAAAACACACCGUCCAGUACCUAUUGGGGAACAUCUAUUCCCAUCUUUGAAUUGACAUCUCUUCAAACUAUGGAUUAAUAUCAUCCCCUUUAAGUAGAUAAUUACUAAAAUUAUGUAUCACCAUCAAAUGUUUGACAAAAUUCCUCAUAGAUUAUCGCUGAAUUCAACAAUUGAAGUUAUUAAAUUGCUAUGUAUAUGUAGAAUUUGGGAUUAUCUAGUUAACCUAUAGGGUCGUGUUAAAGAUGACAAAGAAGAAAAAAAAUCAAACAAUCACAACACAAACAAAUGAUAGAGUGAGUGUAAGCACCAAACUGUGCCAGGUGGAGCACUGAGAACAUAGGAGUCAGAUAGGGAGAGCAAACCGUGAAGUACCCAAUCGGAACACGGAACAUUCUAGAGUAUCACGGAUAAAACACGUGAUGCCUGGCUGUCAAGCAUUUACCCCAUAGCAUGUGAUGGAGAAUGAAACACGUAGGAGAUGGGAGAACCAUAGGAUGCAUAGAGAGAUCCUACGGUUGAAGGAAAGCGGUGAGUACCGCUAUAUAAGAAAGACGUUAGGGUUCGCAUAAGGUAACUGUUCAUUCUUGAUAAAACCUAUUUUCUAAAUCUAGCCACUUUACUGACUUGAUCGUUGGAGCUUUAUCCACCGGUCAUUGUCCGGUGGUCAUUGCAGGUACUAGGAGUGCAGUAGCUAAAGAACACAGCAGACUCAACCCUUUGGAUCACAACAAAGCUCAUCAAGAAAAGGGCUUACAUUUGGCGCUAGAAGAAGGGCGGCUUCUAGAUCUAAGGUUUUGAGAAAAAGGUUGAGGGAAGCAAACAGAUAACGAUGGUGACACAAACUAGAUCGUCCACAUAUCCUGGAGGUGCAGCUAGUGGAGGAGUUCCUCAGGUUAGUCAUCCUCAACUCCUCCAGGAAGGAGAAGAUGAGACAAGCAGGUUGAGGGAAAAAAACUUAAGGCUGAGGGAGCAACUAGGAAGAAUGGAGGAGAUGGAACGUCAAAACCUCCAGGAGGGAGAGAAUGAGGCGGUCAGAAAAGAAAACCUACGGAGACCUAUGGAAGGAGUAACACCAGGAGAAGGGGAAGGAGGAACAAGGCAUCGGAUUUCAGGCCCAAGGGUGAAUGAAGAAGAAGGAUCAGGUGAAUCAGGAGUAAGAGCUCGUGAAGGGAAUCGAAAGGAAGGGGUGAACGAUGAAGAGAUUCCGACGGCUGACCCGUACACCAGACUUUUCGAUAUGAUAUGCAAGGUCCAAGAGGAUAUGAGGGCGCAGACUAAAGGAAAAAAGAUAGAGGUGACUCAAGACUUGGAGAGAUUGGGCAAGAGGCCAUUAGCUGAAGUAUGCUACCGUCAUGGGUUCCCAAGUAAGUUUCAACCCCCUAAGUUUAAUGAGUAUGAAGGAACAACUGACCCUGUGCAGCACUUGAACAAUUUCAAGCAAAAGAUGGCGGCUUGGGAAGGUAGUCAGUAUGACGGGAUGUGGUGUCGAUUAUUUCCUAGCAGUCUGAAAGACUAUGCUACAGACUGGUAUCUCAGUUUAUCACCAGAGAGUGUGUCAAGUUUUGCUCAGCUAAGUGAGAUUUUUGUGAAACACUAUAUUCAUCAGAAGAGGCAGGCUGCAGAUAUAGCAUCAUUGUUUGAUUUAGAACAAGCUCCAGGUGAGUCUCUUAGGAAAUUUGUUACUAACUUCAAAAAUGAGAUUUUGAGAACAAAUGGCGGAGUAGAUGAAAGAACAGCGGUGGUAGCAUUUCAGAAAGGCAUAAAUAAGAAAUCUCCGGCAUAUGACUCAAUUGUGUCAUCACGGAUGGCGACUCUAGAUGAGCUUUUUCAGAAGACAGAGAAGUACAUCAGACUAGAAUACAUAGCAUCACGGAGAGCUCCCAAGGUGUUGCCAGCUACCAUUAACACAGUGGCGGAAAAAAGAAAGAAAGGAGAAGCUAGCUCACGAAGUGAUACACCACCAAGAGAUUCCGGCAGCAGGAGAAACAGAGAUGGAUCGAGAGGUCAGGACAAAAGAGAAAUGAGGGAGGAUAGAGAUACUUCGCCAAGAAAGCUGACACCACCGAAACCGCUACCGCAACUCACCAUGUCCCUGGACCAAAUCUUGAAGAGAAUAAGAGGAAGAAAGUACUUCCAGGAGCCGUCGGUAAGAUGCAGGACGGUCAGGGGAAAGCCUUUCUGUGAGUAUCAUCAGACUUACAACCACCCUACUGGGGAUUACUAUGAGUUCAAAUCCUUGAUCUGGAAAUGGAUUGAGGAGGGCCAUUUAAGAGAAUUUAUAGUGGAAAAGAACAGGGAGGAAGCCAAAGCAGAAAUACAGGUCAGAGGGACCGUUAACAUGAUCUUAGAAGGAGCUAAAGAGUCCAUGAACGAGGUCAGGAGGAAGAUACGAAGAGUGAUGCAGAUAAGAGAAGACCUGCAAACGGUAGGAGCCGUACCAGUCAUGCGAAACGGCAGGCCAGUGCAUCAGAAUGAACCGAUCGGGUUUUCAGAGGAAGACCUCAAAGGGGUAGUCACGCCACACAAUGACCCAUUAGUCAUUUCCAUACUCAUUGGAAAUUGGAAUGUCACCAAAGUGCUAGUACAUUGUGGAAAUGAAGUAGACGUUUUGUUCACCAGGGGCUUGGAUCAAAUGAAACUAGAAAGAAGCAGCUUGGCAAAUUCACCUGGAGACAUUUACGGAUUCAAUGGGGGAGCAGUGCAGCCAGUGGGAGAGAUAGUUUUAUCGGUUACAGCACACACUAGAACUGUCAUGUUAAGGUUUGUGGUCAUAGAUGCGCCAACAGAGUACAAUGCAAUCUUGGGGAGAGAGUGGAUUCAUCUAAUGAAGGCGAUCCCGUCAAGUUACUACUAGAAAAUCCGAUUCCCGACUGAAGACGGGCAAUAUGAGAUAAGGAGUAAUCAAGCUAUGGCCAAGAAUUUCAAGAUAACAACAGUCAAAAGCAUGAGGCAAGGCACAACAGGUGCUGGGCCGUCAUCUAUCCCUGCAUAGCAAUGACAGAAGGAGGAUGACGGGUUCUCACGUGAAGCUUUAAAGACAGAAGAACAAACGGAACCCGUCAACCUCAAUGAAGUAGGGGGUCAACAGAUCACCUACAUGGGAACAAGCUUGGAUCCGAAGGUGAGACAUGAUCUUUUACAGUUCUUGAAAGUUAAUGUAGAUGUGUUUGCUUGGUCUAUGAACGAUAUGACAGGGAUCGAUCCAGAUAUAGCAUGUCACAAAUUAAAUGUCAAUCCAAAUUUCAAACCAGUUGCACAGAAGGUGAGAACUAUGAAACCUACACUAGCAGGGGCGGUACAAAAGGAGAUUGAAAAAAUGGAGGUAGCUGGGAUAAUAAGAGAAGUUCAGUAUUCAGAGUGGGUAGCUAAUAUAGUAGCGGUACCUAAGAAGAAUGGAAAUAAAGGUUCGGAUUUGCAUAGACUUCACAAACCUAAACAAAGCAUGCUCUAAAGAUAGAUACGUCAUGCCAAGGGUGGAUGAACUCAUGGACAGGACAACAGGCUUUGGAUUACUAUCGUUCAUGGAUGGCUAUUCCGGUUACAACGAGAUCCCACUUUAUGGUCCAGAUCAAGAGAAAACCGCCUUCUAUGCUGGUAAGAAAACAUUAUGUUAUACCAAAAUGCCAUUUGGCUUGAAGAAUGCAGGUGCCACUUACCAGAGGCUAGUAGAGAUGAUGUUCGAAAAUCAGCUGAAGAAAACGGUAGAAGUAUACAUUGACGACAUGUUGGUCAAGUCCUAAGAGAAACCUUCCAAACAUUGAGUCAAUUUAACAUGAAGCUCAAUCCAGAAAAAUGCACGUUCGGAGUACAGUCGGGAAAGUUCCUUGGUUAGUCAGGAGCAGAUCAGAGCACUCACAGAUAUGGCGUCACCAAGGACAUAGAAGGAAGUACAGGUACUAGCAGGCCGAAUCACGGCAUUGGGAAGAUUCAUAUCAAGGUCCACAGACAAAUGCAAGCCAAUUCUGAAGCUCUUAAAAAAGAAUUUAUCCUUUACCUGGAACGAUGAAUGCGAAAAAGCUUUCCAGGAAUUGAAAGAAUACUUGAGUAGGCCGCCAAUUCUAUCAAAGCCAACACCAGGGGAGAUACUCUACGUCUACCUAGCAAUAUCCGAUAUUGCAGUAAGUGCAGUCCUAACUAGAAGAGAGGCCUCAAAGGAGAACCCAGUCUAUUUCCUCAGCAAAAAGAUGACUUCCUCAGAAACAAGGUACUCAAGAGUUGAGAAGUAUGCCCUCGCCUUACUCUUUGCGGCACAAAGGUUAAGACCUUAUUUUGAAGCCUAUAGUCUCACGGUGGUUACAAACCUCCCACUGAAUCAAGUGAUGCCUAAGUUCGAGCGUUCUGGAAGAAUGGAGAAAUGGGCAGUUUCGCUGAGUAAGUAUCACAUCAGUAUGAACCAAAGAAGGCGGAAAAAUCCCAAGUACUAGCAGACUUCUUGGCGGAUUUCCCAGUGGACGACGCAACUUGGGAUGCAGAAAUGCAAGGGGAGGAACAGCUAGAAACCCUAGAAACUCGGGAUAAUGGGUGGAAAAACGUGAAAGGAUGGAAGGUGUUCACAGAUGGAUCAGUAAAUAAAGGGAGAUCGGCAAUCGGGAUAGUAGUGGUAACGCCAGAGAACACCAAGAUUGAGAUCACAGAAAACUUAGCUUUUCCGGCUACCAAUAAUGAGACAGAGUACGAGGCAGUACUAAAAGGCUUGGAAGUGUUGCUGAAACUAGAGGCAAAGGAGGUAACGAUUUUCACGGACUCAAAGCUGUGGUGGAACAUUUCAACGGGGCAUAUAGAGCUCUAACUGGGAAGAUGACGCUGUACUUGGAGGCAUUGAAGAAGAGUGUGGCUAAAUUUUCAAAGGUAGAAAUUGUGCAUCUGUUUAGGGGAAAGAAUCGACAUGCUGAUGCCUUGGCUUACCUGGCAACGACAACAGAAGAAAAUUCAACUAAAACUAUAACGUUCAUGCAGAGAUCUCAGCCAAUGAUAGAGGUGGAGGAGGUGACUGUCAAUUUCAUUCAGAGCAUGGGAGCAAGCUGGAUGGAUCCCAUAACAACCUACUUAAAGAAUGGUUCUCUUCCGGAAGAAAAAACAGAAGCCAGAUCUAUUUUGGAACAGUCCAAAAGGUAUGCUAUGAUAGGGGAAGAUCUAUAUAGAAGAUCAUCGGCUGGGCCGUUAUUGAAAUGUGUACACCCAUCCCAAAAAGAAGGGAUCAUGGCGGAAUGCCACAACGGAAGUUGCGGGAGUCAUUCACCGGGACGAGCCAUGGCGCACAGGAUAAUGAUACAUGGGCAUUACUGGCCAAGCAUGUACAAAGAUUGCUGAUACUAUGCUAAGAAGUGUCGUGGUUGUCAAAUUCAUGGGAGAUUGAUACAUACCCCAGCCGAGAACCUCCAUUUCAUUAGUAACCCGUGGCCCUUUUCGAUGUGGGGGAUUGAUAUUGUAGGAAAACUGGAGAAGUCACAGGGAAGAGAAUAUCUAAUAGUGGCCACAGAUUACUUUACAAAAUGGAUUGAGGCAGAACCGUUACGAAGGAUCAGGGAGACAAAAGUUAAAAAUUUCAUCUGGACCAACAUCAUCUGCAGAUUUGGGUUACCAAGGGCUAUAGUGGCGGAUAACGGUGCACAAUUCUGUGGAGAUGAGUUGAAGCAGUUUCUGGCAAGUUAUAACAUAAAGCAACUCUUGGCAACACCAUUUCACUAGGGGUGUUAUGUGAGCUAAGCAGCUCGAGCUCGGCUCGUGUUCGGCUCGAAAAAAGCUCGGCUCGGGCUCGCUCAUCUUGUAAAACGAGCCGAGCUUGAGCAGAUUUUAGGCUCGUCUCGAGCUCGAGCCGAGCCCGAGCUUUAUUCGAGCCGAGCCGAGUAGCUCGAGUUUAUAUUGUUAUUCCUAUCCUACCCCCACUAAUAUCUGUUAUUCCUAUCCUACCCCCACUAUAUAUAACAUAAGAACAUAAGUUUCUGCUGGAAACCUAGCCGUCUGCCCGUCUCCUCUUCUUCUCUAACUCAAUCUUCAUCUCCAGUUCGACAGUUCAUUGGUGGUAGGCUUCGUUAGUUCGUUGUUAAGAAAAAAAGAUUGAAGAAAGUUGGAAUUAGAGCUGAUAAUUUGCUAAACUUUUUGUUUGAAAUUUUAAUUUUAAUUCUGAAAAUAUGAAUACCAUUAAUUCUGAAAUCAUUUGAACUUGUUGUUGUCAUCAUGAAUCACAAAAUCUUCAAUCCUAGCAGAAAGUUGCUUAGCCAAAUUGACCACUUGUUCCGCCUCCCGAGCAAUUUUAUCUUGUUCUUUUAAUGCUUUUUUCAAACUACGCUUAUGCUCUUUCAGUGAAAACUUGAUCAAAUCAGAUCCAAAUGAAUCAAAGUCAUCAACUCGACGACUCAUGUCUUUCUUCUUCUUCUUCUUAGUUUUUGAUACUUUUUUAGAACUGGGAGAACAGAAAAAGCACAAAGGGGUCUGACGAGGAGAAGGGGUUAAGGAUGAAUCCUUUUCUUCUUCAUCUGAAGAAGAAGAAGAGAGAUACCUACCAGCACCACCAUUACCAUCAACAUUUUUGGGUUUGGGAGUUGGCUUGAAAACCUCUUCUUCUUCAUCAUCAUCUUCCCAAUUUGGGGAUGAAAUGGGAAUUGAAGUUGUGGGUAAGUCUUUAAUUUGAGAAUUGAGUUGGGUAGAAAGUGGGGUAUUAUGGCUUUUCAGAUUAGUUUGUGGGAAAGAUGUAAGUUUUCUAAACCUGGUUUCAAGAUCAAUGGGAAGAUCAGUUGUAGUAACUCCAGAGAGAUUAAUAGAUGAAAUUUGUUCAAGAACAUGAAGAUCCAUUGCUUGAGAGAUUAUCUCUUCAACUGCUGAAGAAUCAGAAUCAAAACAAUCAUGCAAACGAGCUCGAGCUCGAGCCUAAACGAGCUUGGAGGGUUCGAGCUUGAUUCGAGCUAAACGAGCUUGGAGGGCUCGAGCUCGGCUCGAGCUAAACGAGCCUAACAAGCUCGAGCUUGAUAAAUAGCUCGCGAGCCGAGCUUGAACAUAAAACCAGGCUCGAUUCAGAAAUUGGGCUCGGCUCGGGCUCGGCUCGUAUUAAAACGAGCCGAGUAUGAGCAUUCAAAGCUCGGCUCGCUCGGCUCGAAUAACACCCCUACAUUUCACCCGCAAGGAAAUGGGCAGGCUGAAGCAUCAAACAAAGCCAUACUGGAGGUAUUGAAAAAGAAGCUGGAAGAUAGAAAAGAAAAGUGGUAUGAAAAUCUUUGGGAAGUGCUAUGGGCCUACCGGACGACACCAAGAAGGUCAACAGGGGCGACUCCAUUCUCUCUCACCUAUGGCAUGGAAGCCGUGAUCCCGAGAUGUUGGUGGAUACGGCUAGGAGGAUGGUAGUCGACCUUGGAAAGAACAACGAGAUAAUAGAGAGAGAGUUGGUCUUAGCAGAGGAGGUCCGGGAGCGCGCCAAGCUCAGGUUGGAGAACUAUCACUGGCAAGUAGAGAAGGCUUACAACAAAAAGGUCAAGCCAAGAAGGCUUGUUCCAGGGGAUCUCGUGCUAAGAAAGCAGAAUCCACCUCCAGCCAAGCUAGAGCCAAACUGGGAAGGGCCUUUUGUGGUAGACAAGGUGGGAACGAAUGGAGCAUACUACUUGACCUACCAAAACGGUACCCCACUUGACAAGCCAUGGAGUAUCAGCAAUUUAAAGAAAUACUAUGCUUAAGAGGCAGAGAUGUAUUAAUUCAACAAGAUAGUAGAUGUCAUUAAGGGAGAAUCGCCAAAAGUUGAAAGUAGUAACUUGUUAAAGUUUCAAUGAAAUAGUAGAAAUUCAUUUCUGUUGAUUUUGGUUUAUCCAGUUGCAUAUAUCAAUAUAGUUUUGUCUGAGACCAGGCCAAAGGUCAGGCAAAAUAGGAAUCCAACUAAGGUUGGUGAGAGAUAACAUAAGUGUAAACUUGGCGAGGCAUGCCGUUAACUAAAUGUUAAAGUCUCUAUAUAAUUAUCUCUUCCCCACUGAGUUUGGCUUAGACAAUACAGUGGGGUGCCUCUAAGUGAGAAGAGCAAUAGUGCUAAUGUGUUAACGGGGUUGCACUUGCUGAACCGUGACGACGGGAUCAGUAGAAGUAUAGCCUAAUGUUAACACAUGAGAAACCAACACCAAAAAGGUAGCAUCAAAUUGAUAACAAAUAUAAAAGUUUUACAAGAAGAUCAAAAUGCUAAUAUAAAAGUUUUACAACUUCAUAAGAAUGUUGCCGAAAAACUAAUCGGAUUACAACUCAAGGCUGGGGAUUUGGGGAGGAAGCACUUGGAGAUGAAGGCGUCAUCCUCAUUCUCUUGGCGGCAAGAAUAGAGGACAAGUUCUCCUUCACCUGAGCCUUCACCUGCAUGGCGAUCUGUUCUUUAGAUUUAACCAACAGCUCGUCAUAUUUGGCUUUGUACUCAGCCGUGAUGGCGGUGAUGGCCUCCUCUUUCUCUCCUUUAAGAGUUUCCUCGAGCCGCCACUGCUCAUAGUCAGCUUCGUAACGGGCAUUUAGUUCAUCUUUCUUGAUUAUAUCUCCAUGGUAUUUGUCCCGCCACAUUUCUAUCUCCUUGGCGUGAGCAGACUCAAGUGCAACAAUGUGCUCGCGGUGCUCACCCUCCAACCUUGCCCGGUUCUUCUCGAUCUCGGCCUCACGAGAUGUGGCUGCUUCUUUGCGUUGAAUCUUAAGUUGUUCAAUCUCGGCUUGAAGAGCCUAUUUCUCGUGGAUCAGCCGGUUCUUCUCUAGCGUAAGGUCAUGUUUCUUUUUAAAAAAUUUCUCUUGCUCAUCCGCCAAGUUAGAAACGUACGUAGUAGACCUGACGGAGAGACCGUUAACCUGCAAUUCAAUAGAGGAAUUAGAGCCUAAGACUCAUUAUAUAGAAAAACGACUCAGAAGGGAAAAAGCUUACGAGAGCUAGACCCUGGAAAAGUGCAUCUCUGCAUUCAUCGAAGCUCAUCUGAUCAAUUCUAGCUUGAUCAGAAGGCAGAAUAGAACGAUGAAGAACAGAGAAAGCAGUUGCUCCGUUGUUGAAAGAUGAAUCAGAGGGACCGCAAGGAGGAGGAACAGCAGGAGGCUUGCUUGGAGAUUGGGGAGGCAGAGGGCCAGCAGACGAGUUACCACGAUAAGAGGAGCCAACCUUGUCAGGGUCUGGAACAGGUAUGGACUCCGUGGUCGCGAGAGGAGGAAGUUUCGAAGCAACACCGACAUGAAGUUUGGAAGCCUCUCCGGUAGCUGUUGUCGGAUUAAUCUCGGUGGUGGAGUCUGGCACAAAAUCAGAAGUAGGAGCAACAUCAGAGGUUGGAGGGAAUUGCUGGUCAUCCCUAGCUUGAUCACCUGAUCCAGACGAAGAAUAGUUAGAUGUACGUUGGUACACGUACCUAGGCGCUUCACGGGUGGGUGCAACAAAUGUAGCAACAUCAAAAAUUUCAUAAUCAACAGGUAAUGGAGGAGGCACCACACCGACAGCAGGGGGCGCAUUUGGAUCAAGGAGUGCCAUGGAAAAUUCCCGAAGGCAAGAGGACGGAGGGUAAGAAGUUGAACCUGGUUGGUUGAUGUCUUCUAUGUCGGUAUCUCCAAAUUCAAGACCACCAUCAUCAAAUCCAAGUUCAUCAAGGUUCACGGAAACCUUGACUCCACUGAAAUCUGGUUGGUCAGGAAGUUCCAUCGAGUUGUCGGAGGGAUUAGAGGAAUGUUCCGGUAGAGGAACAGAAGCUUCAGCCCUUUUUGCUCUCUUAACUCUCGAAAUGGUCGGACCAGAUUGCUUUGAGCGCGCCAGGGGAACUUCGGGAGAUUCUGGUAACGUCUCUGGUUCACCUUGGAUUGCCUGAAAGUCAGAAUUUUCAGUUGGAGGAGUAAGAUCACAAUCAGAGUGUCUGACAAUCUUUUGAACUCGAAGGGCAAAUAAGAAAGGGGGGAGUUGGGCUGUUACUCUUUUUUGCUUCUUCUUCUCGGGCGAUGUCGGAAUAACAGAAGGAGAUUCACGAGCUCUUUUUUGUGUUAAGAUCUCUUGAAGUGGGAUGUUGUCUCUGCCAUCAUCUUCAGAAGAUUCUCUUGGCACAACGGCACCGACAGGAGCUUUUCCGUUCCCUUUGGUAGCUCGAGGAUGGGGGAUGACGGUAGGAGGCUUGCCCUUUUUGUCCUUUAAAUAAUCCUUAUGGCAGCAGACAGGCAAAACGUGUUCUCCAAGAUCGAGGUCUUUCACGAGUGGGGUGCCGUCCCUCUUAGAAUUGGUAAGUUCUCGGAUGGCAGAAUACCCAUCAGGCCCAAAACCUAUCAAGGGUUCCCAGGGAGUAUCUUCACGGGGCUUGAUGGCCUUGCCGUCUCCGCAGACUUCUGAGAUAGCAGAAAACAAGAAAUGAGAAAGAAGUUAGGAACAGACAAACGAAAAGGAUUUUCAUCCUAGAAGUGUUGGUAUACGAACAAAUUAGAUAAAGGAAAGAAAAUACCUCCUAGAUUAAACCGCCAGUAUUUUAAUGGAUUGGAAAUCCCACGGCCCUUUCCCCCAAAGUUGCCAUAGACAAUCAUAGGAAAGUCAGGCCAUUCCUUGUCACUUUCCGGCAAUUUCUCAACAAUAGACCGCCUACCGGGGCGCUUGACAAAAUAAUAAUAGGGUUGGCCACAUUUUUCUUCACAGACUCGAAGGUAAUAGCACUGACGUAUGUCCGCGAGGAAAACGAUGGUUUCCUCGCUGUUAAGUUGAUCCGCGGCCCGUAAGAUACGCCAGAAAUUUCCAAUACAUUGACCAAGGGCGACUUGAUAAAAGUUUACCAUAUCACGGACUAAGUUCGAAAAGGGAAAUCGGCAGCCGAAAGCUAUUUGGUGGGCCGUCACCAUAAUGGCGUCUUGUCGACGAAAAUCGUGAUGUGCAAAAUGCAGGGCGUGCUUGUAGUUGAAAAUUUCUACGUCAUCUGGGAUGUCUAAUAACUCAUAGAACAGGUCUAAGUCAGGUCUAUAUGAGUAAGUGCUAGGCUCGUGCGAGUCAAGGUAGUAGCCGGACGGAGAGGGGUGGGCACCGCCAUCACCUUGGCCUUUUUCCACCGUCUUCCUUGAAGAAUCUUUCUUCUUUUGAUUUUGAUGAGAAGCCAUUUGUAUGGAGAAAGGCUCAGCAAAAUCGUAUGUGAAAAACGAUUAGGGACGUGUACAGAGGAAUUCCUAGAGGAGGAAAGGAGAGAAGAAAUGAGGUAGUAGAUUCAGAUUACGACCGACCAAAAAAGAAAAAGAAACACUUGCAUCAACCGUGAUUUGGAGUAUAUAGCAAGAGGAAGAAAAUUCAAAACUAAAUCUAGUAUUUCUAAAUCUAGUAUUUGUGUAGAGAGACGGCUGAGAUAAAACCAAGAAAAUAAGAAAGAAAAGUAAGAGAGAAUAACCUGAGGUAGCCGGCGGAGGGAAAAAUAGAGGAGAAAAUCGAGCUUUCAGGAGUCCGGAUGAUGCGAGAUUCUGCAAACGAGUUGGAGACAGAAGAGGAAGAUGAAUAGAAGAGGAGAAUGAAGAGGGUGAAAGCAAAUAGAAGAAAUUGGUUAAGGGUUGGAUAUUUAUAUGAGCAUAGUUAUAGGGGUAUUUUGGGAAGAAAUAGAGUAAUGACAAGACGGCGGCGUUGGGAAGUGAAAAGGCAGCAGUCGAAAUUAUGAUUGCACCUAGGGGAGAUCAAAGAGGCACGCGCUGGAAGUUCGAAACAUGAGGGCAUGCGUAAUUAAUGAGCAGUUGGAAAGUUAAGGAUAAGAGAGGACCUAGGGCACGUGAGGAGCAGGUGAAGAAAUAAAUGAUGGAAAGAACUCAGGACGGUUUUCCGUCAUCACGAGGAAUCUACAUCUAGAUCAAGAAAAGCCUUUGAGCCGCCAUCUAAGGUACUUAGAUGACGGUCAAAGGAGCGGCGAUGUAAGCACCAAACUGUGCCAGGUGGAGCACUGAGAACAUAGGAGUCAGAUAGGGAGAGCAAACCGUGAAGUACCCAAUCGAAACAUAGAACAUUCUAGAGUAUCACGGAUAAAACACGUGAUGCCUGGCUGUCAAGCAUUUACCCCAUAGCAUGUGAUGGAGAAUGAAACACGUAGGAGAUGGGAGAACCAUAGGAUGCAUAGAGAGAUCCUACGGUUGAAGGAAAGCGGUGAGUACCGCUAUAUAAGAAAGACGUUAGGGUUCGCAUAAGGUAACUGUUCAUUCUUGAUAAAACCUAUUUUCUAAAUCUAGCCACUUUACUGACUUGAUCGUUGGAGCUUUAUCCACCGGUCAUUGUCCGGUGGUCAUUGCAGGUACUAGGAGUGCAGCAGCUAAAGAACACAGCAGACUCAACCCUUUGGAUCACAGCAAAGCUCAUCAAGAAAAGGGCUUACAGUGAGAAAAGGAGAAGAGCUUAAAAAUCUAACCUUGCUGCUCUGAGAAACGGAGAAAAACGGUGUUGCUGCUGCGAACAAGAAUACUAUGUUGCUGAAACGAAGAGAGAUUAAAACUCUAUGUUGCUGCUGCGAAUUGAACUAUUGAGAGAGAGAGAGAGAGAGAGAGAGAGAGAGAGAGAGAGAGAGAGAGAGAGAGAGAAUACAAGUAGAAAGGAGACUAGGAGAGACGGUUGUUUGCCUCUUUUCUCGGCCAAUAGUAGAGGAAAAGGAAAUCGUUUGUAUGUUUUGG